GGUCAUUGAUGCAGGUUUCCCCGAGUGCGCUGUUGGAAAUUAAUCUCAGUAAUCUCUACCGUAGUCAGCUUCAACAAAUGGGUUUGGCUCAUUUGUUAUUUUUCAGUCCAAAACAAUGUUAAGAUGUUGCUUUCUUUCUCCACUCCCGUUUUAGGAGCGUAGCAUUACUAAUACUAUGCAUGAAAUUGCGCAAAUUUAGGUUCUCUCUGUUUUGAACAAAUUUCAGUAAGAAUUUAAAUUGUAUUUGAAUUUUUUUUGCAUCAAUAUUGUUAUCCAUUAUGCAGAAAAGUUACGGGAGUCAUCCAACUUCUGAGAUUUGUUGUAGAAUGAGUUUAUUAUUAUUUUUUCCCAUCAUUUUACGGUCUAUUAAACUCCAUUGAUCUUGUGAAAUGCAGUUUUAUCAACAAAUGCUUAUUGAUUGUUCAUAUGAGAUUCUGAAUUUUUUAGGUGCAAGUGUUCCAUUCUUGAUAUUGUUACCUAAAUUUUAGCCCAUUUUAUUAAUUUUUUGAAUUAGCUUUGACUGUUAGAUGCGUAGAUGAACAGUUUCUAGAAAAUAGAUCUAUUUCCUCUAUUUUAUUUCAUCACAUAUGUAACUGUAUCAUGUAUGAAUCAGUUUAAGAAUCUCACUCUCAACAUACCUAAUCUCUAGUUGACAUUGCACAUAUUAGCAUCCAAAAACUUGACAAAAAUCUUUAUACCUAAUCUCUAGUUGACAUUGCACAUAUUAGCAUCCAGAAACUUGACAAAAAUCUUUAGUUGGAAACGUUAGAUUGAUGGAUACCCCACUUCAGAUUACGUGCGUCCAAUUCAUUCAUGUUGCAUUGCUUUGAAUUGUGGACCUUUAUUACCAUUGUUAUAUUGUUAUUAUUAUUUUUUUAGCUUGAUGAAUUAUACUUAGUUACUAAUGUACCCUUAAUUUUGUCUUUUGUCCUACUGAAUUAGAUGUGACAAACUGGAAAGGUAGCUUUUUCUAUCUUCCUUUUUUUAUUCUUUAAUUCAUAUCAUUUUCUUUGCAUGAUCAGAACAACAUUAAUAUUUUUAGGGGAACUCGUAAAUUUUGUACUCCCUAGUAACCUUGUUAGUAUGAAAUUAGUUUAAUAAAUUUUCUUAAUGUUGUUUCGAAGAAGUUGUUAAUUUAGUUAAAAACCCUUCUCUUCUGAACUUUGAGACUUGAGAUUUUAAUUCGUUAUUUUGCAAACAUGGUGUUACCACAUUACGAUAGGAUUAUCAAGAACAUUGAAAGAGGGGAGGUGCUUUCAGCUUUUUAUUAGUAACUUUAUUAUUCUUAUUAGUCUCCACUGUUACGCUAGUUGAUUAAAUACAAGCUUGAUUUCAAAUUCCCUAGUGAAAGGGUAGAGAAGAGGAAUUGGUUGAGCUUGCUGGGGGUCGCUUUCCUCUUUGCUGGGGCUUCUGUAUGGCCCAGCAAGAAAGAAUACGGGCUAACUCAUUGGAUCAGUUGGAACAGCUUGAGAUCCUCCUUCUGAGGGAAGGUCGCCUGUUAGUCUGAGGUUUGCUCCUAGUCUUUGCUUCCUCCUCUUUUCAACUGAGGAAAAAAAGGCUCACUUGCUAUAUCUCAUCUCCGAGAUCCCCUCAUCACAGUGGUUCGGCAAGGGUGGGGCGGGGCGGGGAUUUCAAACUGCUGCUUCUUUUCCCGGCUUCUUUUAGAGCAAGAUGCCUACUAAAUUUCCAUCGGAUUUCAACCCUCAAUCCGGUCAGUAUGAACAAUACACCAUCAAAGCAUGCUCUGGCAAGGCAGGCAGCUGAGAGCCCCCCUCCAACUCAAAAGAAGAGGAAGCAAUUAUUAAUGGAUGACCACGUGAGCUCAGGAAAGAGGAAAAAAUGACAUCAAUUUAUGACGGUUAUAUGUAGAGAAGGAUGAUACUUGGUGGAUAACAAAGAUGAUAAAUGGUUUGAGCGGAUGCCAACACAUGGUUUGAACGGCAGCAACAAGAGGAAGUAACGCAAUGUCUUCAGCUAGAGAAUGGGCCUGCAAUGCAUCCAGAAACUUGACAAAAAUCUUUAGUGAACUGCGGAGUUGUGGGAAGUCUUCGGUGCUGGAGAGCAUUGUUGGGCAUGAUUUUCAACCUCCUGCUUCUGCAAUGUUACCCAGUGCUGUUGAUGCAACAGGAAUCAGCUUGAUAUAAGAGAAUUGGCAUGGCGUUCUACUUGUGGGCAAAAAGACACAAGCUCAAGGUAGACAAAAUUAAGUUAAUCGAACUCUGUGGCACAUCAAAAUCUGAAUUUUCCAGUGUCUCUACAUCCAUGAAGGACCUGUGUCAUGAUGUUUUUGGGAUAUCAAAGGAAAAGGAAGAUCCAAGAGAUGUGAAAGGGAACCGAGAAUUGAUAGAUGCAUUGCCUGAGAAAAGAACAUUUGAAGAUGGUGGUUAUUUGUCUGAUGAUCGUGGUACUUCACAAGCACAGCAUCUUUAAUCUUGAUUCUUAUUAUUUAUUUGCUAAAGCACUUUUUUCAUUUUUUUUUUCUUUUGGCCAUUUAUUUUAUAAAGCAUGUUCUUUUUAGUGUUAGUAGAUGGUAUCAGUGUAGGAAGAUGCAUGGUGGUUUAAAAUUUUUGCUAGCUUCUGUAACAUCGUUAAUAUGUAUCCACUCACAAGAUCCACAAGUGAUCGGUUGAAUAACUCGUUUAAAGCUACACCUAUUUCCUUAUUGUCAACUUGGUACUUUAUCCGAAUUAGCUGAGAAAGUAACUUCAAAAUUAUAAGUAGUCUCUUACACGUCAAGCUUUAUGAAGCCUUGACAAAUGAUAACUAUAUAAUCUUGUUUAAUCUGACACAAUUUGAUCUAUUCAGUUCAGAUUGCGCACCUGCAAAACAAAUGAUUGAAAUAGGACACAUGACAAAAUAUGUGACCAAAGUGGUUAUGUAUGAAAUGAUUUUUGAUUAACUCCGUUUGUUUGUUUGGACGUAAAAUAUUUUUCAGAAAAUAUAUAUUUUUAUUUUUUUGGUGUUCGGUAAACAGCCGUAAAAUAUUUUUCAGAAAAUAUAUUUUUUAUUUUUUUGGUGUUUGGUUGUCGUAAAAUAUUUACGAAAAAAAAAAAUAUUAAAAUUUAAGAAAAAUAACCUAUCCAUCAAUUUUGUAAGUUAUUUUACAUGUCCCGCCCGAUGGACUCGAUCUCAAUUUUAAUUUUAACGUAGACUUUUGAAAACACCGACAAAAUAAAAAUAAAAGAAUAUUUUAUCUGAAAAAAAAAAAAAAAAAAUUUCUAAAGGAAUAUUUUAGGUCGAAAUAAAGCUAAGUUGCAAUAUUUAGCACAACAUGAAGUAUGCGUUUGGCGAAAAACAAACAACUCACAAUGAACAAGUUUGUGUAUCUUUUAUUUCAUCUACUCGAGGUCGACGUGAUUCCAU